rfam:Ornithorhynchus anatinus chromosome 7, whole genome shotgun sequence.
CAUCCCUCAGGGUCACACCUGGCGAGUUUCCAGUACUCUACCAGUCUCGAUUAAGGGAGGUAGAGUCAAGCAGAGGCAUACCCAUUCCAUUCCUAGCUUGACCAGUAGCUUGCAAGUGGAAGGCAAUCUGCUACAAGU